rnacentral:rRNA from 1 species
UGGAGGAAGGUGGGGAUGACGUCAAGUCAUCAUGGCCCUUACGACCAGGGCUACACACGUGCUACAAUGGCGCAUACAAAGAGAAGCGACCUCGCGAGAGCAAGCGGACCUCAUAAAGUGCGUCGUAGUCCGGAUUGGAGUCUGCAACUCGACUCCAUGAAGUCGGAAUCGCUAGUAAUCGUGGAUCAGAAUGCCACGGUGAAUACGUUCCCGGGCCUUGUACACACCGCCCGUCACACCAUGGGAGUGGGUUGCAAAAGAAGUAGGUAGCUUAACCUUCGGGAGGGCGCUUACCACUUUGUGAUUCAUGACUGGGGUGAAGUCGUAACAAGGUAACCGUAGGGGAACCUGCGGUUGGAUCACCUCCUUA